GACGAACGCUGGCGGCGUGCUUAACACAUGCAAGUCGAACGGAAAGGCCCUGCUUGCCGGGUACUCGAGUGGCGAACGGGUGAGUAACACGUGGGUGAUCUGCCCUGCACUUCGGGAUAAGCCUGGGAAACUGGGUCUAAUACCGGAUAGGAGCCAUUUUUAGUGUGAUGGUUGGAAAGUUUUUUCGGUGUAGGAUGAGCUCGCGGCCUAUCAGCUUGUUGGUGGGGUAAUGGCCUACCAAGGCGGCGACGGGUAGCCGGCCUGAGAGGGUGGACGGCCACAUUGGGACUGAGGUACGGCCCAGACUCCUACGGGAGGCAACAGGGGGGAAUAUUGCACAAUGGGCGCAAGCCUGAUGCAGCGACGCCGCGGGGGGGAUGACGGCCUUCGGGUUGUAAACUCCUUUCGCUAGGGACGAAGCUUUUUGUGACGGUACCUAGAUAAGAAGCACCGGCUAACUACGUG
rnacentral:rRNA from 1 species